rfam:TPA: Bos taurus chromosome 23, whole genome shotgun sequence.
CCUUCGAUAGCUCAGUUGGUAGAGCGGAGGACUGUAGGUAUUUGACUAAUGGCCAUCCUUAGGUCGCUGGUUCGAAUCCGGCUCGAAGGA